CCUACGGGGGGCAGCAGUGGGGAAUAUUGCGCAAUGGGCGAAAGCCUGACGCAGCGACGCCGCGUGAGGGAUGAAGGUCUUCGGAUCGUAAACCUCUGUUAGCAGGGAAGAACGGUCACUGUGCUAAUCAGCAGUGAAUUGACGGUACCUGCAAAGGACGCACCGGCUAACUCCGUGCCAGCAGCCGCGGUAAUACGGAGGGUGCGAGCGUUAAUCGGAAUUACUGGGCGUAAAGCGCUCGUAGGCGGUAUGUCAAGUCAAGGGUGAAAUCCCCGCGCUCAACGUGGGAACUGCCUUUGAAACUGGCAAACUGGAGUGUGUGAGAGGAUAGUGGAAUUCCAGGUGUAGGAGUGAAAUGCGUAGAUAUCGGGAAGAACAUCAGUGGCGAAGGCGACUAUCUGGCACAUAACUGACGCUGAGGAGCGAAAGCGUGGGUAGCAAACAGGAUUAGAUACCCUGGUAGUC
rnacentral:rRNA from 1 species